rnacentral:rRNA from 1 species
UGCCUAACACAUGCAAGUCGAGCGGGGUCCAUCCGGUAGCAAGUACCGGGGAAGACCUAGCGGCGAACGGGUGAGUAACACGUGAGAAACCUGCCCCGAAGUCUGGGAUAACCCGAGGAAACUCGAGCUAAUACCGGAUGUCUUCUUCUGAUCGCAUGGUCGGAUGAAGAAAGAUUUAUCGCUUCGGGAGGGUCUCGCGGCCUAUCAGCUAGUUGGCGGGGUAACGGCCCACCAAGGCGUCGACGGGUAGCUGGUCUGAGAGGACGAUCAGCCACACUGGGACUGAGACACGGCCCAGACUCCUACGGGAGGCAGCAGUGGGGAAUAUUGCGCAAUGGGCGAAAGCCUGACGCAGCAACGCCGCGUGCGGGAUGAAGGCCUUCGGGUUGUAAACCGCUUCAGUGGGGACGAAUUCAGACGGUACCCACAGAAGAAGCCCCGGCCAACUACGUG